GGGUUGUGAGGUUAAGCGACUAAGCGUACACGGUGGAUGCCCUGGCAGUCAGAGGCGAUGAAGGACGUGCUAAUCUGCGAUAAGCGUCGGUAAGGUGAUAUGAACCGUUAUAACCGGCGAUUUCCGAAUGGGGAAACCCAGUGUGUUUCGACACACUAUCAUUAACUGAAUCCAUAGGUUAAUGAGGCGAACCGGGGGAACUGAAACAUCUAAGUACCCCGAGGAAAAGAAAUCAACCGAGAUUCCCCCAGUAGCGGCGAGCGAACGGGGAGCAGCCCAGAGCCUGAAUCAGUGUGUGUGUUAGUGGAAGCGUCUGGAAAGGCGCGCGAUACAGGGUGACAGCCCCGUACACAAAAAUGCACAUAUUGUGAGCUCGAUGAGUAGGGCGGGACACGUGGUAUCCUGUCUGAAUAUGGGGGGACCAUCCUCCAAGGCUAAAUACUCCUGACUGACCGAUAGUGAACCAGUACCGUGAGGGAAAGGCGAAAAGAACCCCGGCGAGGGGAGUGAAAAAGAACCUGAAACCGUGUACGUACAAGCAGUGGGAGCACAGAGCAAUCUGUGUGACUGCGUACCUUUUGUAUAAUGGGUCAGCGACUUAUAUUCUGUAGCAAGGUUAACCGAAUAGGGGAGCCGAAGGGAAACCGAGUCUUAACUGGGCGUUAAGUUGCAGGGUAUAGACCCGAAACCCGGUGAUCUAGCCAUGGGCAGGUUGAAGGUUGGGUAACACUAACUGGAGGACCGAACCGACUAAUGUUGAAAAAUUAGCGGAUGACUUGUGGCUGGGGGUGAAAGGCCAAUCAAACCGGGAGAUAGCUGGUUCUCCCCGAAAGCUAUUUAGGUAGCGCCUCGUGAAUUCAUCUCCGGGGGUAGAGCACUGUUUCGGCAAGGGGGUCAUCCCGACUUACCAACCCGAUGCAAACUGCGAAUACCGGAGAAUGUUAUCACGGGAGACACACGGCGGGUGCUAACGUCCGUCGUGAAGAGGGAAACAACCCAGACCGCCAGCUAAGGUCCCAAAGUCAUGGUUAAGUGGGAAACGAUGUGGGAAGGCCCAGACAGCCAGGAUGUUGGCUUAGAAGCAGCCAUCAUUUAAAGAAAGCGUAAUAGCUCACUGGUCGAGUCGGCCUGCGCGGAAGAUGUAACGGGGCUAAACCAUGCACCGAAGCUGCGGCAGCGACGCUUAUGCGUUGUUGGGUAGGGGAGCGUUCUGUAAGCCUGUGAAGGUGUGCUGUGAGGCAUGCUGGAGGUAUCAGAAGUGCGAAUGCUGACAUAAGUAACGAUAAAGCGGGUGAAAAGCCCGCUCGCCGGAAGACCAAGGGUUCCUGUCCAACGUUAAUCGGGGCAGGGUGAGUCGACCCCUAAGGCGAGGCCGAAAGGCGUAGUCGAUGGGAAACAGGUUAAUAUUCCUGUACUUGGUGUUACUGCGAAGGGGGGACGGAGAAGGCUAUGUUGGCCGGGCGACGGUUGUCCCGGUUUAAGCGUGUAGGCUGGUUUUCCAGGCAAAUCCGGAAAAUCAAGGCUGAGGCGUGAUGACGAGGCACUACGGUGCUGAAGCAACAAAUGCCCUGCUUCCAGGAAAAGCCUCUAAGCAUCAGGUAACAUCAAAUCGUACCCCAAACCGACACAGGUGGUCAGGUAGAGAAUACCAAGGCGCUUGAGAGAACUCGGGUGAAGGAACUAGGCAAAAUGGUGCCGUAACUUCGGGAGAAGGCACGCUGAUAUGUAGGUGAAGUCCCUCGCGGAUGGAGCUGAAAUCAGUCGAAGAUACCAGCUGGCUGCAACUGUUUAUUAAAAACACAGCACUGUGCAAACACGAAAGUGGACGUAUACGGUGUGACGCCUGCCCGGUGCCGGAAGGUUAAUUGAUGGGGUCAGCGCAAGCGAAGCUCUUGAUCGAAGCCCCGGUAAACGGCGGCCGUAACUAUAACGGUCCUAAGGUAGCGAAAUUCCUUGUCGGGUAAGUUCCGACCUGCACGAAUGGCGUAAUGAUGGCCAGGCUGUCUCCACCCGAGACUCAGUGAAAUUGAACUCGCUGUGAAGAUGCAGUGUACCCGCGGCAAGACGGAAAGACCCCGUGAACCUUUACUAUAGCUUGACACUGAACAUUGAGCCUUGAUGUGUAGGAUAGGUGGGAGGCUUAGAAGUGUGGACGCCAGUCUGCAUGGAGCCGACCUUGAAAUACCACCCUUUAAUGUUUGAUGUUCUAACGUGGACCCGUGAUCCGGGUUGCGGACAGUGUCUGGUGGGUAGUUUGACUGGGGCGGUCUCCUCCUAAAGAGUAACGGAGGAGCACGAAGGUUGGCUAAUCCUGGUCGGACAUCAGGAGGUUAGUGCAAUGGCAUAAGCCAGCUUGACUGCGAGCGUGACGGCGCGAGCAGGUGCGAAAGCAGGUCAUAGUGAUCCGGUGGUUCUGAAUGGAAGGGCCAUCGCUCAACGGAUAAAAGGUACUCCGGGGAUAACAGGCUGAUACCGCCCAAGAGUUCAUAUCGACGGCGGUGUUUGGCACCUCGAUGUCGGCUCAUCACAUCCUGGGGCUGAAGUAGGUCCCAAGGGUAUGGCUGUUCGCCAUUUAAAGUGGUACGCGAGCUGGGUUUAGAACGUCGUGAGACAGUUCGGUCCCUAUCUGCCGUGGGCGCUGGAGAACUGAGGGGGGCUGCUCCUAGUACGAGAGGACCGGAGUGGACGCAUCACUGGUGUUCGGGUUGUCAUGCCAAUGGCACUGCCCGGUAGCUAAAUGCGGAAGAGAUAAGUGCUGAAAGCAUCUAAGCACGAAACUUGCCCCGAGAUGAGUUCUCCCUGACCCUUUAAGGGUCCUGAAGGAACGUUGAAGACGACGACGUUGAUAGGCCGGGUGUGUAAGCGCAGCGAUGCGUUGAGCUAACCGGUACUAAUGAACCGUGAGGCUUAACCUUACAACGCCGAAGCUGUU
rnacentral:rRNA from 1 species